UACAGAGGGUGCAAGCGUUAAUCGGAAUUACUGGGCGUAAAGGGCGCGUAGGCGGUUCGUAUAGUCAGGCGUGAAAUUCCCGGGCUUAACCUGGGGGCUGCGUUUGAUACGUACGGGCUUGAGUUCGGAAGAGGGUCGUGGAAUUCCCAGUGUAGAGGUGAAAUUCGUAGAUAUUGGGAAGAACACCAGUGGCGAAGGCGGCUCACUGGCCCGAUACUGACGCUGAGGCACGAAAGCGUGGGGAGCAAACAGG
rnacentral:rRNA from 1 species